rnacentral:rRNA from 1 species
AGCGAACGCUAGCGGCGGGCCUAACACAUGCAAGUCGAGCGGAGGGGCAACCCUCAGCGGCGAACGGGUGAGUAACACGUAGGUAAUGUACCCUCUGGUGGGGAAUAACCGUGGGAAACCAUGGCUAAUACCGCAUAUGUCUUUCGAGAUGAAAGCAGCAAUGCGCCAGAGGAGCAGCCUGCGGCCGAUUAUUUAGUCCUAGUUGGUGAGGUAAUGGCUCACCAAGGGUACGAUCGGUAGCUGGUCUGAGAGGAUGAUCAGCCACACUGGAACUGAGACACGGUCCAGACUCCUACGGGAGGCAGCAGUGGGGAAUAUUGCGCAAUGGGCGAAAGCCUGACGCAGCCACGCCGCGUGGGGGAUGAAGGUUUUCGGAUUGUAAACCCCCUUUCAUGAGGAAAGAUAAAGUGGGUAACCACUUAGACGGUACCUCAAGAAGAAGCCACGGCUAACUUCGUGCCAGCAGCCGCGGUUAAAGUCUAGCAUG